CGCGGCUGGAAGGGGAAGGAGCUGCUGCUGCCCGCGGGAGCACUCCGGGCUGGGAGCUGCCUCCUGCCGCAGGCUGCGCUCGGGCCGGACAAGGAGUUGACAAAUGGGCUCCUCAGGACAGCAACAGGAACAUGUAAGCCUGUGGUCUGUGAGUGCUGGAGAGAAGGAAGAGGCAAGAAGAGGCUGCCCUGCUGAAAUGAUUCUUUGGAGUCUGAUACCUGUGUGCCCCAGGCCAGCACCGCUGCUCCUUGCCUGUUCUGCUUCUUGUGUUUGGCAUGCACAGUUCAGCUGAGAUCCUGGCCUCUGAGAAACCCUUUUGACAUGAAAAGAGAAGUGACCUUUCUUCCUUAAAUGUCCUGCCCUCUCUUGCUCCUUGUACAAGUUUCAGCCCUGUGGAGGGGAUGGAAAUCUCUUUAUCCUGCCACCCUCACAAAGGUGCUGAGGAAGCUGAGGUUGGGACUGGAUCUGGGGUUUGUGUGGAAAGUGGUAGAGCUGCAGUGGAACCAGUUUAGCACCAAUGAAACUGGAAAAGAUUAACUGACUAAAAAUAAAUUACACUUCUUUAAAUAGCCUUUUGCACCACAGGAGAAAGUGAAAAUCACUCAUACAGAGACUGCCUUGGAGCACAAGUGAAGGGUGAGGCUGGGCAGGGCUCUGGGCAGCCUGAUCUAGUGGAGGAUGUCCCUGCUGACUGCAGGUGGGGCAGGGCUAGAGGAGCUUUGGAGGUCCCUUCCAAGCCAAACCAUUCCGUGGUUCUAUGAACAGCAGGAGCUGAAGAGGACUGAAGAGGUGAAUGGGGAAUUAGCUCUCCUGAAGCCUUUGCAGGCAGCAUCCUCAGGAGUUUUGGUCUCAAGAGAAGGAGAAGGAGGUGCAGGCUUGCUAACACCUUGCCAGGUAGAUCCUUUGCUAGGUGGAAACAGUGACACCUCAGGUGUUCCAGGAACCUCUCAGGUGGUCUGUGAAAAUCCAAGCCCCACUGUCCUACUGUGGUGGAGGGUCACACAGGCCCAAAUAGGCUUACAUAUGCCUAUGCCUGCCUGGACAUGCUUUUCUGCCAGGACUCCUGGUUGUAAACAGGUUGUGUAAGCCCCUACACACCCAGCUCAUGUCUCCCUGGGGUAAGUCCAUGUGAUCCCCAUAUUUGGGAUAGUCCAGGCCAGUGCCUUCUGCCCAUUAUGGUAAAGUUUGGCUGACUGCCAACCUGGUUGGUCAUUGUAGUGGCCAAAGGACCAUCAAUCUCGGCCCACAUCUGAUAAAUAGGACGAUGCAGGUAAACAAAGUGCCUCUUGCCUCCUGCCACCUCCUCCGCUCACCUCUCCUAGCCUCCUCGUCGCCCGAUCAGGCCCGUGGCAUCUUCUCAGCGCGCCCCAAACCCAAAUCGAGGGUUAACUACGUGGCUCUCACUCUAUACACUUUUGGACCACAAAGACUGAGAGUUCCAAUUAGUGAGUAAGUGAACUCUCUCGAUUUGAGUAGCUAAGAAAUUUCCUUGGCUUUGCCAGUGGCACUUUAUGCCACAGGACUCUCUAACCAGAACCUGUCCAAACCUCUACCAAAUUGCUUAAUCCUGCUGUAAAUGGACGCUCUGUAAAAAUAGCUUCACUAACCGCGUACAAAGAAUUUGUGUGGGUUAACUGUACAGAAGUUUGGGGGAAAAUACCUUUGUUUAUAUUAUUAAAUUAUUUAAAACUUCCAAA